GUAGGUAGUGCGUGAUCAGGGAGUGGUGACCAAUCGGGAUACGCAGGCGUGCACGUGCACAGGGCGCUUAUUGGCUGGGGCAGGGCACGGUCCUGGGGCACUGACCAAUGGUGAGGCGGUGCGCCCAUGUGGACAGAUAGUGGGAAACAGUAUUUGUUAGGGAGGGGGCGGAAGAGGGAAUCUCCGGCUCGCGGCGUGUCAGCCGUUCCUAUGGUUACGAACGGGGGCGGGGUUUCUGGCAGCGUGAGGAUUGUUUGCAGGAGUCACUGGGUUCACGCUGGAGCAAGAAGUUGUGGCUGCCACUGGCUUGUGUUUAUGAUUAUGUCUGCACUAUUCGAGAGGAAAUAAAUGUCCUGGAAAAUGGAGCUCGGCAAUAUUUCCUUGUGAGAUUUGGGGGCUGAACAAAAUCAGGACUCACUUAUCAAGGAAGAAGGGCAAACGGCUAUUGAGUGGUCAAGCUAGAGCCAUUUCACUGGCUAAUCUGAGUCUGACCAAGUUUCCUAUAGAGCAGAGCUGCCUCAGCUAGAGCUUAAAAAAGGAGGAUAAACAAACAAUAGCUAUUCUACAGCUAGACAGGAGGUUUCUGUGCCACUGCCACUGCCGCCACCACCACCACCACCACCACCAUCACCACCUCAGCACAGCUCCAGGGUGGGAGCCACCCUGAGGGGAGGACCAGGAGAAAAAAGAGAAAAAAAGAAAAAAGCAAAAUCUAUGUGAAUCUGUAUUGAUAUAAUUAAAUGAUUACGUAAAUAAAUAAAUGGAGGUGAAGAGACAAA
rnacentral:lncRNA from 1 species